UCCUUCAUGUCCAUCAGCAAGUCAUAAACCUCCUCCAGCCUAUUUUCUCUUAAAAGCCGACACACUAAGCUGUUAUAGCGAAAAACGUCAGGAACAUACCCAUCAAUCAGUUUCUUGCCUUUCAAGAAUUCAACUGCCUCACUUAGCUCCCCAGCCCGAGCAAGGUGCUUAAUCCACACACUAUAUGCCUGUUCCAUUGAAACCAAACCAGACUCUCUAAAUUCCUGCACCAAACUUGCAGCUCUUGUGAACUUCUUAUUUUUACAUAAAGCAUCGACAAGAUUAGCCACGACAAUCCCACUCAAUCCUACCCCUCCAUUCCUCAACAAGUCUCUAAGAUACUCCUCAG
rnacentral:misc_RNA from 1 species